rnacentral:rRNA from 1 species
CCCUUAGACGUUCUGGGCCGCACGCGCGCUACACUGACCAGUGCAACAAGCAUCCGUCCUUGGCCGACAGGCUCGGGCAAUCUUUGAACGCUGGUCGUGAUGGGGAUAGACUUUUGCAAUUUUUGGUCUUCAACGAGGAAUGCCUAGUAAGCGCGAAUCAUCAGUUCGCGUUGAUUACGUCCCUGCCCUUUGUACACACCGCCCGUCGCUCCUACCGAUUGAAUGGUCCGGUGAAAAUUUCGGAUACCGGCAUUGCUGGCGGUUCGCCGCCGGCGACGCUGGUAGAAGAUCUUUAAACCUUAUCAUUUAGAGGAAGGAGAAGUCGUAACA